ACAGGAUUGCUUAGCUACGCGCGAGUGAUGCGGCAUAAGCUCAAAUUUGAAAUCUCGGCACCUUCGCGUGUCCGAGUUGUAAUUUGAAGAAGGUAACUUUGGCAUGCUCUGGCUCUUGGUCUAUGUUCCUUGGAACAGGACGUCACAGAGGGUGAGAAUCCCGUGCGAUGAGAUGCCCAAUUCUAUGUAAAGUGCUUUCGAAGAGUCGAGUUGUUUGGGAAUGCAGCUCUAAGUGGGUGGUAAAUUCCAUCUAAAGCUAAAUAUUGGCGAGAGACCGAUAGCGAACAAGUACAGUGAUGGAAAGAUGAAAAGAACUUUGAAAAGAGAGUGAAAAAGUACGUGAAAUUGUUGAAAGGGAAGGGCUUGAGAUCAGACUUGGUAUUUUGCGAUCCUUUCCUUCUUGGUUGGGUUCCUCGCAGCUUACUGGGCCAGCAUCGGUUUGGAUGGUAGGAUAAUGACUAAGGAAUGUGGCUCUACUU
rnacentral:rRNA from 1 species